UACGUAGGGUGCAAGCGUUGUCCGGAAUUAUUGGGCGUAAAGAGCUCGUAGGCGGUUUGUCGCGUCCGCUGUGAAGACUCAGGGCUUAACCCUGAGCCUGCAGUGGGUACGGGCAGACUAGAGUGUGGUAGGGGAGAUCGGAAUUCCUGGUGUAGCGGUGGAAUGCGCAGAUAUCAGGAGGAACACCGGUGGCGAAGGCGGAUCUCUGGGCCAUGACUGACGCUGAGGAGCGAAAGCAUGGGGAGCGAACAGG
rnacentral:rRNA from 1 species